rnacentral:rRNA from 1 species
CCUACGGGAGGCAGCAGUGAGGAAUAUUGGUCAAUGGACGAGAGCCUGAACCAGCCAAGCAGCGUGAAGGAUGACUGCCCUAUGGGUUGUAAACCUCUUUUAUAAAGGAAUAAAACGCGGCACGUGUGCCUUUCUGCAUGUACUCUAUGAAUAAGGAUCGGCUAACUCCGUGCCAGCAGCCGCGGUAAUACGGAGGAUCCGAGCGUUAUCCGGAUUUAUUGGGUUUAAAGGGUGCGUAGGUGGGUUGUUAAGUCAGUUGUGAAAGUUGGGGGCUCAACCGUAAAAUUGCAGUUGAUACUGGCAGUCUUGAGUUCGGGUGAGGUAGGCGGAAUGCGUGGUGUAGCGGUGAAAUGCUUAGAUAUCGCGAAGAACCCCGAUUGCGAAGGCAGCUUACU